GAAGACUAGCAUCAUGAUUCUGAAAAGAAGAAUAUGUAAAAACUUCUGUUUCUACAUGUCCAAGAAGUCAUGGGAUCUUCCUCCAAUGCAUUGCACAAGAAAGUUUGUUCAUUGAAUGAAGUGUUAAUCUACAGAAGGAAGCUUGUCAGCACUCUACAAAAGCAAUGCAGGUCAAGUCACUCCUUCCCAAGG